UACAGAGGUCUCAAGCGUUGUUCGGAUUCAUUGGGCGUAAAGGGUGCGUAGGUGGCGUGGUAAGUCGGGUGUGAAAUUUCGGAGCUUAACUCCGAAACUGCAUUCGAUACUGCUGUGCUUGAGGACUGGAGAGGAGACUGAAAUUUACGGUGUAGCAGUGAAAUGCGUAGAGAUCGUAAGGAAGACCAGUGGCGAAGGCGGGUCUCUGGACAGUUCCUGACACUGAGGCACGAAGGCCAGGGGAGCAAACGGG
rnacentral:rRNA from 1 species